rnacentral:lncRNA from 1 species
UAACAUUCCCAUGUCUUUUCUCCUACUUCCUCUCCCACUGCACGUGUCCUUCUUCUGCAGUCUCUCCGACUAAAAAGUCUCUGUUAGAACUACACUUCCCUUCAGCAAUGAUGGCAGCUGAGCUGCCUCGGCUCCCCGUUACGGCUCUUUCCAAGUUAUUCUACGCUACAACUAUGAGUUUGUCACGGCCAAAGUCAGAGGUUCCGGGUUGACCUCGUUGGCUUCAAUGCUCAGCUGUCCAAACGACGCCACUUCCUCUUCCGCCGACAGCGCGUAUUACCCAAUUUCUCUGUUUCCAACUCUCUCCAGACUACGCGUGAACUUCAGGAUUCUCCCAUUGAAGCUCCCGAGCGCUUCAGGGACUCCCCCCUGCUACUCGAUGUGAGCGGAAUGAUGUGCGGCGCGUGCG